CAGGUGAGCAUGUCGUCCCGUUCGCCUAUGCAUACAUAUGCACGCUAUGCCGAUCCACGCUCGCAAGAGCAUCUCGUGAUAUAUGGCGACCGCAGCAGCCAAACGGGGGUUGUCGGGGGGCUGGGCAGGCCUCGCAGCAUGCGCCUCACGCCUCCGAAACACAACGCUGCUGAUCAGUCCACCUCCAUAUCCUCGGUUGGCCGCGUAUCUCUCGUGGGUAGCACAAUACCGAAAGCCGCUGCCAACUUGUCUUCCCAUUCCGUGGGUGACAGGUUUGCGGUAGGCUCGCUAGUGACAGGGUGAAUGAACGUGUAGGUCGUUUUGUCCCACUCGAUGUCGCCCUUGUCGUCCGAGAAAUUGGCUGGAAUCCUGCAUCCGCCGUAACAUGCACGGAGUGCCGCGGCGUUCCAGCCAUUGGCUAUGGCCGCGACGCCAAUCUGCAUAGAGCAGGAGCAUGCGCGUCACACAGCUAGCGAAAAGCUGCUGUGCGUUCAUUUCUUACAUUUUCCAGUUGAUAUGCAUCAUUAUGCUCCUGGGAAAUCUUCCCCGGCUUCUUGCGCCGAAGAACAACAAGUUGUUUCGGUGGCAUGUCGGAAAACUGCCGACUUCGUGCAAUGCGGGCGUACCAAAGACGGUGUAUUGGUAUGAAGUAGCAUGUAUGUACCAACAAGACUGAUGCGCAUGCGAUUGUACUGAUGCAAUUCUGGCCAUUUAUGCCCCAUGCCGCCGCCUGACACGCUUACAGGGCG
rnacentral:lncRNA from 1 species